rnacentral:rRNA from 1 species
ACGAACGCUGGCGGCAUGCCUCACACAUGCAAGUCGAACGAGACCUUCGGGUCUAGUGGCGCACGGGUGCGUAACGCGUGGGAAUCUACCCUCAGGUUCGGAAUAACUCAGAGAAAUUUGAGCUAAUACCGGAUGAUGACGUAAGUCCAAAGAUUUAUCGCCUGAGGAUGAGCCCGCGUAGGAUUAGGUAGUUGGUGAGGUAAAGGCUCACCAAGCCGACGAUCCUUAGCUGGUCUGAGAGGAUGAUCAGCCACACUGGGACUGAGACACGGCCCAGACUCCUACGGGAGGCAGCAGUGGGGAAUAUUGGACAAUGGGCGAAAGCCUGAUCCAGCAAUGCCGCGUGAGUGAUGAAGGCCUUAGGGUUGUAAAGCUCUUUUACCCGGGAUGAUAAUGACAGUACCGGGAGAAUAAGCUCCGGCUAACUCCGUG